rnacentral:rRNA from 1 species
GAAUAUUUGACAAUGGGGGGAACCCUGAUCCAGCCAUGCCGCGUGUGUGAAGAAGGCCUUUUGGUGGUAAAGCACUUUAAGCGAGGAGGAGGCUACUCUAGUUAAUACCUAGAGAUAGUGGACGUUACUCGCAGAAUAAGCACCGGCUAACCCCGUGCCAGCAGCCGCGUUAAUACAGAGGUUGCAAGCGUUAAUCGGAUUUACGGGGCGUAAAGCGCGCGUAGGGGGCCAAUUAAGUCAAAUGUGAAACCCCCGAGCUUAACUUGGGAAUUGCAUUCGAUACUGGUUGGCUAGAGUAUGGGAGAGGAUGGUAGAAUUCCAGGUGUAGCGGUGAAAUGCGUAGAGAUCUGGAGGAAUACCGAUGGCGAAGGCAGCCAUCUGGCCUAAUACUGACACUGAGGUGCGAAAGCAUGGGGAGCAAACA